rnacentral:hammerhead_ribozyme from 1 species
AUCCAGCUGGUGAGUCCAAAAUAGGACGAAACGUGCGUUCUGGAU